rnacentral:rRNA from 1 species
CUACGGGCGGCAGCAGUAGGGAAUCUUCGGCAAUGGGGGCAACCCUGACCGAGCAACGCCGCGUGAGUGAAGAAGGUUUUCGGAUCGUAAAGCUCUGUUGUAAGAGAAGAACGAGUGUGAGAGUGGAAAGUUCACACUGUGACGGUAACUUACCAGAAAGGGACGGUAACUACGUGCCAGCAGCCGCGGUAAUACGUAGGUCCCGAGCGUUAUCCGGAUUUAUUGGGCGUAAAGCGAGCGCAGGCGGUUAGAUAAGUCUGAAGUUAAAGGCUGUGGCUUAACCAUAGUACGCUUUGGAAACUGUUUAACUUGAGUGCAGAAGGGGAGAGUGGAAUUCCACGUGUAGCGGUGAAAUGCGUAGAUAUAUGGAGGAACACCGGUGGCGAAAGCGGCUCUCUGGUCUGUAACUGACGCUGAGGCUCGAAAGCGUGGGGAGCAAACAGGAUUAGAUACCCCUGUAGUC